rnacentral:rRNA from 1 species
CUACGGGCGGCUGCAGUGGGGAAUAUUGCACAAUGGGCGCAAGCCUGAUGCAGCCAUGCCGCGUGUAUGAAGAAGGCCUUCGGGUUGUAAAGUACUUUCAGCGGGGAGGAAGGGAGUAAAGUUAAUACCUUUGCUCAUUGACGUUACCCGCAGAAGAAGCACCGGCUAACUCCGUGCCAGCAGCCGCGGUAAUACGGAGGGUGCAAGCGUUCAGCGGAAUUACUGGGCGUAAAGCGCACGCAGGCGGUUUGUUAAGUCAGAUGUGAAAUCCCCGGGCUCAACCUGGGAACUGCAUCUGAUACUGGCAAGCUUGAGUCUCGUAGAGGGGGGUAGAAUUCCAGGUGUAGCGGUGAAAUGCGUAGAGAUCUGGAGGAAUACCGGUGGCGAAGGCGGCCCCCUGGACGAAGACUGACGCUCAGGUGCGAAAGCGUGGGGAGCAAACAGGAUUAGAUACCCUCGUAGUC